GGUUGUCGGGAAAGUGGCCUGGUACCCGUAUGCUCUUUUUGCCGGGGAUACCACUCGUUACCCCUCUCCUAAGUUUAGCUAUAGGCCUACCUGGCGGGGGUGUGCGGGUGGGGGAAGGGUGGCAGGGAAAUUGGCCUGGACGUACCCGUAUGCUCUUUUUGCCAGGGAUACCACUCGCCACCCCUCCCCUAAGUCUAGCUCCCUCGAUCACAAUCAUGCUUUGGGAUUAAUUGAUAAGCUAUAUGAUAGUGCAAUCACCAAACCCUACUUCGUAAGUGUUUUAUAUGGCCUUCGAUCCGUUGAGAACGAAACGACUGCUACAUAUAUACUUUUGUACUGUUCUGUCGUGGCACAGGUAGUUGUAUUGUGUGGCCUAGUAAAAGGCCCCCAAAGUGAAAGAUAUACCCAAACCAUACCAUCAUGUACUAUGUAGGAUGUAGCCUACAUAGCAGACCCCCUAUAGUAUACCAUACCACCAGUAGGCCUAGCUAGGCCUAUGUACCCUACUACGUGUCCCACCUAGUGACCUAGGGUCGGGAAAACAGACUAUUUUAACAAUAGGCGUAUGCAUGUCAUCAUACAUGUAGGCCUGUCAAUAGUCAACUGUCAUGAUAGUAGGCCUACUAUACUAGGGGGCUACAUGAUAAAUAUUACAUGGUUUACCAGCAGUCUACCACAGUUCCCAUCAUCAAGUGUACAUAACACCUAUAACGGUCGUUAUACGUGUACCUAUUCUUAAUAUCAUCAUACAUAUUACAUGUCAUAAAAGAUGUUGUGACGUAUUUUCUGCUUCAUUUAAGAUUCGUUUCUUCAUUUCAGGAAAUGUCUUCCAAAUGCCGAGUCAAAAUUACUGAUGACCAGCGAAAAAAGUUAAUUGCCCACUUCAAUGGUGGAUGAACUCCACAAAGCGGUCAUGCCAUUCAAAAAUUGAAGAGGUGGCAAAAGAAUUAGGAUUGGAGUUCAAAAAUGUGAAGGUAAACCUCCUGGUGAACAGUUCCAGGCCUGGGCCAACGAGUGGAAUGCCCUUUCUCCUGCAGCCAAGAAGGGCUUCCAUGAAAAAAAGGGAGUCGUUGGACAUCAGACCAACAAAUGAAAGGGAACGGAUGGCCAGGGUGGAAUUUCUUUGGCGCAAAUUGAUGAAGCUUGUCAAGAACUGGCAACUUAUGGAACGGAUGUGUUCCUCCUCAGUUGUGACGUCAAGUCGGGGAAAGAGGUUGUCCUUGGAAAUGGGAGGGGAAAGUCUUCCUGGGAAAGUUUCCCAGUUGUGCGACCAAUUUUCGUCUGCACUGUAGAUCUGGUGUAUUGGAUACUCAGGCUGCUGUUGGAACCAGCACAUCAGGCAUGUCAGGUCAAACUAGAGACCUCGAAAAGAGGGUUAGGGAGGCUCUUAAUACUGCAUAUUGUGUUUCUACUGGUAGGGACCGUUUCCCUUACAGUGAUCACCACAAAGUCAAUGUUCAUGGACUACCGGAUGGACUUCACAUUCCACAGUCUUUUGGGAGCAUCGGGAAAGCCAAACUCCAAGAACUCCUGGAAGUUAUACCACAGUUAAAGUUUGUGGUAAACCCCUUUGAUUUUUGAAUCUUGCUCUACCCCAAGCACCACAGCAGAGCCAACACAUGAUGAUGAUGAAGAAAGGACA